UUUCUAUGUUUUUUAUCUGGUUUUAUAUUUUUUAUUCUUAUAUUUAAGCCUCUAAGUCAUUUUAAAUAAUAUUUUUCAUAUUAUGUGACAUAAGGGUUGAAAUUCAUAUUUCGCAUAUAUUAUUUUUUUUCUAACCUAUUAGUUGAAAAUACUAUCUUUCCCCCCACAGAAUUCCCAUGACACCUGUAAUGGUUCGGAUUUUUUUUUUUUUUUUUUUGGUACUAGGAAACCGACUCAUGGCCUGAAGCUUACAAGGCAAGUGCUUGAGCUGCUGAGCUAAAUCCCGGCCCAAUGGUUUGGAUCUUAAAUGCACCUCAAAAGUUCAUGUAUGGAAAGGUUGGUCCUCAGUGUAGAAGUUUUCAGGUGCCAGGCCUUUGGAAGGAUGAAUCUAUUCACAGAUUCAUAGCUCAUUGGGUUUUAGGGGAAGGACUGAUUAUAAAAGAAGUUCCCUCUUUCUGCCUCCCAGAUAUCACGAGAUGGGCAGCUGUGCUCUACUUCAUGGUCCCUGCCGUGACGUAGUACCUUAUCACAAGCCUAGAAACAACGGGACCAAGUGACCUGGACAGAAGCCUCUGAAACUGAAUUUGUUCUAUUUUCUAGGAAUUUGUUCUGUUAUACAGAGAAGGAUAGAUAUACAUGUAGAGACUCAUGCAUGCGUAGAACUUAUAAACAGUUUAUGAGAACUGAUUAUAUAAUGCAUGAUGAAAUGCACAACUACUUUGAAGAAAAAGACACUAAGGUACCCAGUGCUGAUUCUGCAAUGUCAUGAUGUGAAAUCCAGCAAUACUAUUAUUCUUUGUUCAGAGUGAUUUUAGUCUGUUUUGUUUUGUUUAAUUUCAACAUAUGUGAAAGUAUGGACACCUAUUUUGAAGAGAAUGAGAGACACUAUGACAGCAUUGUUGAUUUCCUUAUUGUCUGACAUUGAAGACCUAAAAUGCUUUCAUCAUUCUGUUUGGAUCAGUUUUAUUCUAUGUUGUUUUGUAUGAAUUCACUGUAUAUGAAGAUAUGGACAACUAUUUGGAAGAAAACAAGAGACAAUAUGAUAGUGAAGAUCUCUGGUUGUCUUGCUUUGAAAUCUACAUCUCUCACAUUGCUUUCUUGUGUUCUGUUUUGUUGUGUUUAAUUUUACCCUCUUUAAAACAAAAUUGAAAAAAAAGAGAUAAAAUGUAUAUUUCCUUAAUGCAAAUACAUGUAACUUGAGCAUC